GUGCCUCAUCUGUUCCAAGGCACCAUACCAUGGCAACGCACUGCUUCGGUUUAAAACACAGACUUAAAAACACGGUCAAAUAUUUUAAGUGAAUUCAUGAUAAAUUUUUAAAGGGACUAGAAAUACCCCUGUCUUUUCCAUACACAGUGCUUCUUGAAUUUUCUAGCUUUGGGCUAAGUCCUAGGUAGAAGCUGAGAACUCAGCAACUUCAGGGAAAAACUGUGAAUCUUAACGCUGUCAAGUUCAAUAGAACGAACAUGAAGCCCUGUUUCUAUACUUCCAAAUAUGUCAGCACAUACUAUUUCAAAAUUCAACACAUGAAAGACAGAAAGAGAACUGCAGUUCCUGUCUUCUGCCCUCCAGAGAGACGACAGCUGCUCGGAUUCACCAUCUACUGUGUCUAGCACCUCACCGACCCACGCGGGCCUCACCUCACAGUCCAAGUGGCUGGCUUCUACUCUUACCUUAGUUCUACUGAAGAAACUGAGGCACAACUGAGGCAGAGUCAUGCUGCUGAUAAAACCUGGAGCUAGAGAAUGUACCGUGCAGCUACACGGUUCUGUCGGCGGAUGUGCGGUCCUGCAGGAAGCGGUCCAGCCUAAUUAGUGGUCAAAGGCAACCACCCUGGAGUCUGGUGCCAGACAGGUCACCUAGCCUCAGCUUUCUGAGCCCAGAAGAGGAAACGGCUCACUGCCGGGGGAUAUGUGGAAACCACUAACAAUGUGACCGCUGACCUGACGAUUGCAAGAUGAAAUCUGCAAGGGGUAGCUGUGCUGGCAGCACACGCCAGCAAAACAAAUAAAUAAAUAAAAAGCCUUGUUCAGUUC